AUUGAACGCUGGCGGCAGGCUUAACACAUACAAGUCGAGCGGGGUGAUGGUGCUUGCACUAUCACUUAGCGGCGGACGGGUGAGUAAUGCUUAGGAAUCUGCCUAUUAGUGGGGGACAACAUCUCGAAAGGGAUGCUAAUACCGCAUACGUCCUACGGGAGAAAGCAGGGGAUCACUUGUGACCUUGCGCUAAGAGAUGAGCCUAAGUCGGAUUAGCUAGUUGGUGGGGUAAAGGCCUACCAAGGCGACGAUCUGUAGCGGGUCUGAGAGGAUGAUCCGCCACACUGGGACUGAGACACGGCCCAGACUCCUACGGGAGGCAGCAGUGGGGAAUAUUGGACAAUGGGGGGAACCCUGAUCCAGCCAUGCCGCGUGUGUGAAGAAGGCCUUAUGGUUGUAAAGCACUUUAAGCGAGGAGGAGGCUCUUUUGGUUAAUACCCAAGAUGAGUGGACGUUACUCGCAGAAUAAGCACCGGCUAACUCUGUGCCAGCAGCCGCAGUAA
rnacentral:rRNA from 1 species